CGUUGUCCGGAUUUAUUGGGCGUAAAGAGCGUGUAGGCGGCCAGGUAGGUCUGCUGUGAAAACUCGAGGCUCAACCUCGAGACGUCGGCGGAAACCAUCUGGCUAGAGUCCGGAAGAGGAGAGUGGAAUUCCUGGUGUAGCGGUGAAAUGCGCAGAUAUCAGGAAGAACACCCGUGGCGAAGGCGGCUCUCUGGGACGGUACUGACGCUGAGACGCGAAAGCGUGGGGAGCGAACAGG
rnacentral:rRNA from 1 species